GAGUUUGAUCAUGGCUCAGAUUGAACGCUGGCGGCAUGCCUAACACAUGCAAGUCGAACGGCAGCACAGCAGAGCUUGCUCUGUGGGUGGCGAGUGGCGGACGGGUGAGUAAUGCAUCGGGACCUACCUAGACGUGGGGGAUAACGUAGGGAAACUUACGCUAAUACCGCAUACGUCCUACGGGAGAAAGCAGGGGACCUUCGGGCCUUGCGCGGUUAGACGGACCGAUGUUCGAUUAGCUUGUUGGUGAGGUAAUGGCUCACCAAGGCGACGAUCGAUAGCUGGUCUGAGAGGAUGAUCAGCCACACUGGAACUGAGACACGGUCCAGACUCCUACGGGAGGCAGCAGUGGGAAUAUUGGACAAUGGGCGCAAGCCUGAUCCAGCAAUGCCGCGUGUGUGAAGAAGGCCUCGGUUGUAAGCACUUUAUCUAGGAGCG
rnacentral:rRNA from 1 species